rnacentral:misc_RNA from 1 species
GGAAGGAUCAUUAACACGUACGAAAGUACACACCAACACUGUGAACCUUUUAACCAAGGUACAACCUCUCCCUUUUGAUUGGGCUGCUAUGAUGAACGGCGCUUUUGGACAUUCAUCUAGUAGGCUCGUGUCUUUACACGAACCCAUCUGAAGGUUAUAUUUUCCCAUUAGCAUAUUUUACAUAUUUCACCUAUAAAUACAUUUGUCUAAUGUAGCAGCUUGGAGAAAUCCUUGCAGCUUGAUUAUCUAAACUAAGCACAACUCUUAGCAAUGGAUAUCUAGGUUCUCGCAACGAUGAAGAACGCAGCGAAAUGCGAUAAGUAAUGCGAAUUGCAGAAUUCAGUGAAUCAUCAAAUCUUUGAACGCAAAUGGCGCUCCCGGGAUAGUCCUGGGAGCACACCUCUCUGAGUAUCGGUUCAAACUCAACUCGCCUGCUCCUUGAAAUAUAGGUGCUGUGCGGAAAAUGAGAGUCUGUGCUUCUACGCUCAGUCUCUUUAAAUAUGUGAUUGAAAGUAUACCUUUCUAGCACUUUUGGGCUUACUUCCCAAAUAGCUUCUUAAGACUGUUCUAUUGUUGGACGUCAUGUGGAUAAGAUGGUAUUUAUACCGCCUGAAACAUGUACCGAAAGCAUUGAGCGUAAAUGUCUUAUGCAAGUGAACACUAGAAAAGAAACUUUUGAUAAUGAACUGAACUGACUCACGUCAGUAUUCUAUGACAUUAGAUCUCAGAUGAAGUGAGAAGACCCCCUGAAUUUAAGCAUAUUAAUAAGGGGAGGAAAAGAAACUAACAAGGAUUCCCUUAGUAACGGCGAGUGAAGCGGGAAGAGCUCAAGAUGAGAAUCGUCGGCCUUCGGUGGUCGUCGAAUUGUAGCCUCGAGACGUGCUAUCAGCGUGUGACCUAGGAAUAAGUCCUUUGGAACAAGGCAUCACAGAGGGUGACAAUCCCGUACUGGUCCUAGAGUUCGCCGCGUACGAUGUACGUUCACAGAGUCGAGUUGUUUGGGAUUGCAGCUCUAAGCGGGUGGUAAGUUUCAUCGAAAGCUAAAUAUAGGCGAGAGACCGAUAGCGAACAAGUACCGUGAGGGAAAGAUGAAAAGAACUUUGAAAAGAGAGUGAAAAAGUACUUGAAAUUGCUAAGAGGGAAGCGCUGGAAUCCAGAGUUGCGCGCAGUCAUCUUGUCGUGCAUGCCUUUCGGUUGGGUCAGCUAAUUGGCAACUUUAGUUGGUUUUUCCGUGGGGAGUGUGUGCGACUUCAAUGAUUGUGUGCGUGUCAGGAUGAAUUCGAGCGGUGGGAGAAAGGGAUGCGGAAGGUAGGGUUGGCUUGCCAAUCUGUUAUAGCCGUGUCUCCAUACCAUGGCUUGGAUUGAGGAAAGUGACGGGUGCGCCACAUGGCUUGGUCUCUUGCAUCUGUUGCUCAUUUUUCGCGUGGAUAGCAAUGCUAUGCUGUGGAAGAUGGGUGACACUAUGUAGGACGACCGUAUGCAUCACGAGCGAUCCUGACUCAAUGGAUUCCAUCGACCCGUCUUGAAACACGGACCAAGGAGUCUAACAUAUAUGCAAGUAUUUGGGUGUUAAACCCGCGUGCGUAAUGAAAGUAAAGGUAGUUUCGGCUACUGAGGUAGGAAACCCGCAAGGGUGGCACUAUCGACCGAUCCUCACUUGUGAAAGAUUUGAGUUAGAGCAUAUCUGUUGGGACCCGAAAGAUGGUGAUCUAUGCCUGAACAGGGUGAAGCCAGGGGAAACUCUGGUGGAAGCUCGUAGCGAUACUGACGUGCAAAUCGUUCGUCUGAUUUGGGUAUAGGGGCGAAAGACUAAUCGAACCAUCUAGUAGCUGGUUCCCUC